rnacentral:rRNA from 1 species
AGCGAACGUUUGCGGCGGGCCUAACACAUGCAAGUCGAACGCACUAGCAAUAGUGAGUGGCGCACGGGUGCGUAACACGUGGGUAAUCAACCCUUCAGCUUGGGAUAACGACUUGAAAGGGUCGCUAAUACCGGAUACGGCGCGGGAGGCUUCGGCUUCUCACGAGAAAGCCUCGCAAGGGGCACUGAAGGACGAGCCUGCGGCCCAUCAGCUAGUUGGUGAGGUAAGAGCUCACCAAGGCGAAGACGGGUAGCUGGUCUGAGAGGAUGAUCAGCCACACUGGAACUGAGACACGGUCCAGACUCCUACGGGAGGCAGCAGUGGGGAAUAUUGCGCAAUGGGCGAAAGCCUGACGCAGCCACGCCGCGUGAGCGAUGAAGGCCUUCGGGUCGUAAAGCUCUGUGGGGAGAGACGAAGAAAGCCCGUGAAGAGCGGGCCUUGACGGUAUCUCCUUAGCAAGCACCGGCGUAACUCCGUGCCAGCAGCCGCGGUAA